AACGAACGCUGGCGGCAGGCCUAACACAUGCAAGUCGAACGCCGUAGCAAUACGGAGUGGCAGACGGGUGCGUAACACGUGGGAACAUACCCUUUGGUUCGGAAUAACUCAGGGAAACUUGAGCUAAUACCGGAUAAGCCCUUACGGGGAAAGAUUUAUCGCCAAAGGAUUGGCCCGCGUCUGAUUAGCUAGUUGGUGAGGUAACGGCUCACCAAGGCGACGAUCAGUAGCUGGUCGAGAGGAUGAUCAGCCACACUGGGACUGAGACACGGCCCAGACUCCUACGGGAGGCAGCAGUGGGGAAUAUUGGACAAUGGGCGCAAGCCUGAUCCAGCCAUGCCGCGUGAGUGAUGAAGGCCUUAGGGUUGUAAAGCUCUUUUACCCGGGAAGAUAAUGACGGUACCGGGAGAAUAAGCCCCGGCUAACUUCGUGCCAGCCGCCGCAGU
rnacentral:rRNA from 1 species